rnacentral:lncRNA from 1 species
AACCCGAGGAAGAUCCUUCCCAGUAUGUUCGUGGUUUUGUUGGUUUGUUGUUUUUUUUUUUUUCCCCAUCACUGUAGCUUUUGAAAUAUGUGUUUGAAGGUAGAAGCAGGUUUAAUGGGCCAAGGGAAAAGCAUAAAACCAGGCACUAAUUGGCUCAGUGAAAAGCGAAACCGGGGCUGAGCUCCGAUUCCGGACGAUCUGCAGCUCCCAUCGCUCUUGUCAGCUCGCUGGGGCUCUGAUGAGGAAGCGUUAACGCAAGCGGUGAUGAAUCAUUACAGUCGGGGCUUUAAGAGUAAGGAAAAAAUAAGCAAACAACCUACCAGGAGGGAAAAAAAAAAAAAAACCCCCACAAAAACCAACCACAACAACCUGCUGGAAGCCGGGAAAAAUUUUCUAAGGAGUCUGUAAGGAAGAAGCCGGUGUCGGUGCGUGGGGAAGAGCAGGAGGCAGCUCCUUUUCCCGGACAACUCCAAGCUGGUCCGGCAGCCGAGGGCUGUUUUCCUGCUGCUGCUUCCCAGUAGGGAACUGGCAGCCGCUCCCAGUAGGGACAAGGACCAGCAGAGCCCAGCUGGUGCCCGUGCCCAAACCCUGCGGGAGCCAAACCUUCAGGCCAGCGUCCACCUUUGGGAAGAAGGAGGUUUUAAAGCCAGGGAUCGGAGCCGUUCCUUCCCCCUGGCAGGAGCAGCCGGGAGCGGGCUCUGCUCUGCAGGAACUGGGAGCGGGAGCCAGGCACCACUUGGCCUUCCACAGCAAACCAGUGCCAGCAGCUUUCCUGGCCUCCCCUCCAUCCCAGCGCCUUUCUGCUCCAUCCCAGUGCUCCCCUCCAUCCCAGCGCCUUCCUGCUCCAUCCCACUCCCUCUCCUCCAUCCCAGUGCCUUCCUGCUCCAUCCCAGUGACUUUCUGCUGCAUCCCAGUGCCUUUCUGCUCCCUCCCAAUGCUCCCCUCCAUCCCAGUGCUUUCCUGCUCCAUCCCAGUGCCUUCCCCCUCCAUUCCAGUGCCUCCCCUCCAUCCCAGUGCCUCCCAUCUAUCCCAGUGCCUCCCCUCCAUCCCAGUGCCUCCCAUCUAUCCCAGUGCCUUCCCCCUCCAUUCCAGUGCCUCCCCUCCAUCCCACUCCCUCCCCUCCAUCCCAGUGCCUCCCACCUAUCCCAGUGCCUCCCCUCCAUCCCACUGUCUUCCCACUCCACCCCAG